ACCUCGCGGGAACCCGGGACCUACCGCUUCGUCCACCUCCCGCGCGCCCCAGGCCCCGGGUUGGGGUGCAGGGGGCGCAGGGGUUGGUCGGGCCAGCGCCGCAGCUCCGGCCCCGGAGUCUCUCCGCCUUCACAAGGAAGCGGAGGGGAUCUGGCUCCGUCCAUUUCCUCAUCCUCUGCGUACCUGCGGACCAGGUGCUCCCGGAUGCAACCCAAGAACCCGGAACGCGCCUGGCACACAGGAGGCGCUCAGCUCGUGUUGGGGAAUUCAGGCAGGGAAGAAAGCAUGGAUAGGCACGAGGUCUCCCCUUCCUGGGGAGCCGCUCCCAGGGCCUCCAGCCCCUUUUUCUGUUAUCUUGGAGACCAGUCUGGAAAAGUCCAUGCCCCUGGGAGACCCUGAAACAGGACCCUGUGGGCCGACUCGCUUUUCGUUUUUUUCUUUUUUUGAGACAGAGUCUCGCUCUGUCGUCCAGGCUGGAGUGCAAUGGCGCGAUCUCGGCUCACUGCAAGCUCUACCUCCUGGGUUCAAGCGAUUCUCCUGCCUCAGCCUCCCGAGUAGCUGGGACUACAGGCGCCCACCACCACGCCCGGCUAAUUUUUUGUAUUUUUAGUAGAGACGGGGUUUCACCGUGUUAGCCAGGAUGGUCUCGAACUCCUGACCUCGUGAUCUGCCCGCCUCAGCUUCCCAAAGUGCUGGGAUUACAGGCGUGAGCCACCGCGCCCGACCCCGACUCACUUUUUUUUUUUUCUUUUUUGAGACAGAGUCUCACUCUGUUGCCCAGGCUGGAGUGCAGUGGCGCGAUCUCGGCUCACUGCAACCUCUGCCGCCUGGGUUCAAGCAAUUCUCCUGCCUCAGCUUCCCGAGUAGCUGGGAUUACAGUCACCUGCCAUUGCAUCCGGCUAAUGUUUGUAGUUUUAAUUAGAGACUGGGUUUCACCAUGUUGGCCAGGCUGGUCUUGAACUCCUUACCUAGUGAUCCACCCACCUCAGCCUCCCAAAGCGCUGGGAUUACGGGCAUGAGCCACCGCGCCUGGCCAGUUACAUGUAUAUCUGGCAUCAUAUGGCCAGUUACAUGUCUAAUGGCCAGUUUUAUGGGGACUUUUCAGGAAACUCCUGGAUCGAGGCUGGCAUCUUUCCGGCCCAAGCAGGCUCAGCCCAUGGAGAUCUCACAGUGGCAACAUCCUAGGUCCCAGCCUGCGCCGCACCCUCCCCAGGGUUCUAGGCCCUGAUUCUGACCACAUGUCCCCACCUGGAUGCGGCCUGGGCACUCCUGCACCUGCCUGUGGGGUUUGGGCCACCAGCCUGUGUGGCCUUCUCCAUCACCUGCAGCUGCUCCUCUCGGCCAGACAGGACUUUCUUCUGCUGCUGCACGGAGGAGCUUUCCCCAGCACCUGGGCCAGGUGAGCUUCCAGGUCCCAGCCAUCCCGCCACCUGGCAAUACCUGGCCGAGCUUGGAGAUUAGGGGCUGAAAUAUCUUCUAUUAAAAAUAGAACAGGGGGUCGGGUGCGGUGGCUCACCAGCGCUUUGGGAGGCCCAGGUGGGUGGAUCACCCGAGGUCAGGAGUUUGUGACCAGCCCAGCCAACAUGGUGAAACCCCGUCUACUAAAAAUACAAAAAUUAGGCUGGGCGCGGUGGCUCACGCCUGUAAUCCCAGCACAUUGUGGGGCUGAGGCAGGUGGAUCAUUUGAGGUCAGGAGUUCAAGACCACCCUGGCCAACAUGGUGAAACCCCAUCUCUACUAAAAAUAUAAAAAUUAGCCCAGCAUGGUGGUUUGUGCCUGGAAUCCCAGGUACUAAGGAGGGUGAGGCAGGAGAAUCGCUUGAGCCUGGGAGGUGGAGGUUGUGGUGAGCUGAGAUAGCACCAUUGCACUCUAGCCUGAGCAACAGACUAAGACACUGUCUCAAAAAAAAAAAACUUAUCAGGCGUGGUGGCACGUGCCUGUAGUCCUAGCUACUCGGGAGUUUGAGACAGGAGAAUCACUUGAACCCAGGAGGCAGAGGUUGCAGUGAGCUGAGAUCGCACCAUUGUACUCCAGCCUGGGCGACUGAGCGAGACUCCAUCUAAAAGAAGAAAGAAAAACAAAACACGAGGCCGGGUGCGAUGGCUCACGCCUGUAAUCCCAGCACUUCGGGAGGCCGAGGCCGGCAGAUCAUGAGGUCAGGAGAUCAAGACCAUCCUGGCUAACACAGUGAAACCCUGUCUCUACUAAAAAUAUAAAAAAAAAAAAAUUAUCCGGGUGUAGUGGCGGGCGCCUGUAGUCCCAGCUACUGGGGAGGCUGAGGCAGGAGAAUGGUGUGAACCCGGGAGGCGGAGCUUGCAGUGAGCCGAGACGGCACCACUGCACUCCAGCCUGGGCGACAGGGCGAGACCCCGUCUCAAAAAAAAAAAAAAAGAAAAAAAAUACGAAAGAAACUUAGUGCCACUGAAAUGCAGUGGAGUGGGUUUACAGAAAAUGUGAGAGUGAGGAGGGCUGUUGGGAUAAGGGAAGGGUCUUUAGGUGAGCUUCCUCUUGCUGCUCCGGGUGGAGCUGGGGCGGGGUUCUUCAUUAACUCACAGACAUUUCCCUGGAGCCCCUGAGCUCUAGUGCCAACCUCGUGCCUCUGGGGUCCCUGCUUUCUGUUUUGCAGAUUGUUUAAUCAUCGUCAUUAGCGAGUAUUUACCAUGCACUUCCCACGUGCUAGUCCCUGAGCCAGGGCCAGGGAACCCAGGGAGGGCACGGGGGGACACGAGGGCCGGCUGGGGACAUAGGGCGAGGCCGGCCGGACCCCAGGUUGCUGUGAUGCUGUGACUGUGUAUGGGCACCCCCUUUCCCUGGGCUGGAAGGGAUGCCUGGUGGAGGCGUCUGCUCUGCGGGCACCCACAGGACCCCCCUUUGCCUACAGCCGCCCCCGGUGGUUGGGUGGGAGGUUGCAUGCUAGCAUCCUCUUGCUGGUCCGGGGUCAUGAUACUGGUAGAGCCACCUGGUCCCCUCUCCUGGGUUGGUGUCAGAGCUUCACCCUCGGAAGGGAUCAUCCUGUGCCUGUCUCCUGAGGCUCCCGUAACAAAUGACAACACGCCGGGGUGAAAGCAACAGAGAUGCGUCCCCUACUAGCUGUGGAGGCCACACAUCUGAGGUCAUGGUGUCAUUCACCGUGCUCCCUCUGGAGGCUGCAGGGAGGACCCUUCCUGCUUUCUCCAGCUUCCAGGGGCUCCAGUUGUCCUUGGUCUGUGACUGUGUCGCUCCAGCACAUUUUUUUUUUCUUGAUACAGUGUCUUGCUCUCUUCCCAGGCUGGAGUGCAGUGGUGUGAUCACAGCUCACUAUAGCCUCAGCCUCCCGGGCUCAAGAGAUCCUCCGGCCUCAGCCUCCCAAGUAGCUGGGACUACAGGUGUGCGCCACCAUGCCUGGCUAUUUUUACUGUUAUUAUUAUUAUUAUUAUUCUUUUGAGAUGGAGUCUCACUCUGUUGCCCAGGCUGGAGUGCAGUGGCACCAUCUCAGCUCACUGCAAGCCCCACCUCCUGGGUUCACGCCAUUCUCCUCUCUCAGCUUCCCGAGUAGCUGGUACUACAGGCGCCCACCACCACACGUGGCUAAUUUUUUUGUAUUUUUACUAGAGACGGGGUUUCACCAUGUGUUAGCCAAGAUGGGCACAAUCUUCUGACCUCGUGAUCUGCCGGCCUCGGCCUCCCAAAGUGCUGGGAUUAUAGGCAUGAGUAUUAUUAUUAUUUUUUGAGACAGAGUCUCACUCUGUCACCCAGGCUGGAAUGCAGUGGCACAAGCUUGGCUCACUGCAACCUCUGCCUUCCGGGUUCAAGCAAUUCUGCCUCAGCCUCCCAAGUAGUUGGGAUUACAGGCUCCUGCCACCACGCCUGGCUAAUUUUUGUAUUUUCAGUAGAAAUGGGGUUUCACCAUGUUAGCCAGGAUGGUCUUGAUCUCCUGACCUCAUGAUUUGCCCACCUCAGCCUUCCAAAGUGCGGGGAUUACAGGCGUGAGCCACUGCACCCGGCCUUUAUUAUUAUUUUUUUUUGAGACGGAGUUUCGCUCUUGUUGCCCAGACUGGAGUACAGUGGCAGGAUCUUGGCUCACUGCAGCCUCUGCCUGCAGGAUUCAAGCGAUUCUCCUGCCUCAGCCUCCUGAGCAGCUGGUACUACAGGAGUCCAUCACCAGGCCUAGCUAAUUUUUAUAUUUUUAUUAAAGACGGGGCUGGGCGCGUUGGCUCACACCUGUAAUCCCAGCACUUUGGGAGGCCGAGG
rnacentral:lncRNA from 1 species